rnacentral:rRNA from 1 species
GACGAACGCUGGCGGCGUGCUUAACACAUGCAAGUCGAACGGAAAGGCCUCUUUCGGGGGGUACUCGAGUGGCGAACGGGUGAGUAACACGUGAGUAACCUGCCCUUGACUUUGGGAUAACUUCAGGAAACUGGGGCUAAUACCGGAUAGGAGCUCCUGCUGCAUGGUGGGGGUUGGAAAGUUUCGGCGGUUGGGGAUGGACUCGCGGCUUAUCAGCUUGUUGGUGGGGUAGUGGCUUACCAAGGCUUUGACGGGUAGCCGGACUGAGAGGGUGACCGGCCACAUUGGGACUGAGAUACGGCCCAGACUCCGACGGGAGGCAGCAGUGGGGAAUAUUGCACAAUGGGUGGAAGCCUGAUGCAGCAACGCCGUGUGCGGGAUGACGGCCUUCGGGUUGUAAACCGCUUUCGCUCAUGACGAAGCUUUGUGUGACGGUAGUGGGUAAAGAAGCACCGGCUAACUACGUG